AGCAGUGUGGCUUAGUGGCAAGAGCCCGGGCUUGGGAGUCAGAGGUCAUGGGUUCGAAUCCCAGCUCUGCCA
rnacentral:tRNA from 1 species